CCUACGGGAGGCAGCAGUGGGGAAUAUUGCACAAUGGGGGAAACCCUGAUGCAGCGACGCCGCGUGAAGGAAGAAGUAUUUCGGUAUGUAAACUUCUAUCAGCAGGGAAGAAAAUGACGGUACUUGACUAAGAAGCCCCGGCUAACUACGUGCCAGCAGCCGCGGUAAUACGUAGGGGGCAAGCGUUAUCCGGAUUUACUGGGGGUAAAGGGAGCGUAGGCGGUGCAGCAAGUCAGAAGUGAAAGCCCGGGGCGCAACUCCGGGACUGCUUUUGAAACUGUUGAACUAGAUUGCAGGAGAGGUAAGUGGAAUUCCUAGUGUAGCGGUGAAAUGCGUAGAUAUUAGGAGGAACACCAGUGGCGAAGGCGGCUUACUGGACUGUAAAUGACGCUGAGGCUCGAAAGCGUGGGGAGCAAACAGGAUUAGAUACCCCAGUAGUC
rnacentral:rRNA from 1 species